CCCCUCUCUUCUUUUCCGGCGGCGGUAGCAGCGCCGCCUCCGCCGUCCCCUGACUCCCCUCUCCCCCAUCUCUCGCCUCUCACACACACCUCCUUCUCCCUCAUCCUCACUCAUCAAACUAACCGCCGCUGUGGAGACUCGCCGGAGACGUAGCAGUGACGAGCCGCCGCCACCAGCUCUCUCUCUGACCUCUCUCGACCGAUCCUCCCUCUGGAACUCCGGCGAUAGCAGCGAGAACCGCCACCGACCGCCGCUGACUCCGACUCUCCUCUACUUCUCCGACCGUGGCCGAGCAACAGCAGCCAAGGCCGCCGAGCUCUGGCCUCCCUCGGUCUCUCUCUCUCUCUACCUUCCGGCGACUGCAGCAGCGAUAAGCCGCCUCGCCGGAACCCUAACCUCCACCCAGAACAGCUCCGACCAGCUACCACCCCACACAGGUAAACCCCCAAAUCUCCCUUCUCUUCCUUUCAAAAUACAAAAUCUGAAAUCUAAUUCCUCCUCCUCCUCCUCUCUCGUUUUGGCAGAACAGGGACUGGGCGGCAGUUGCCGCCGCGCCGCCGUUGCCGGCGCCCAGCAGCCACCUGCUGCUCCCUCCUUCCCCUCUCACGACUCGGACAGCGCACACACACAAUAAAGCAUAAGGAAACCCUCCCAAUUCAAUCCAGAUUCACAAAGUAA
rnacentral:lncRNA from 1 species